rnacentral:tRNA from 1 species
CGGGUAUAGUUCAGUGGUAGAACAAUGGCUUCCCAAGCCAUGUGUCGCGAGUUCGAGUCUCGUUACCC